UACGGAGGGUGCAAGCGUUAUCCGGAUUCACUGGGUUAAAGGGUGCGUAGGCGGGCAUUUAAGUCAGUGGUGAAAUACCUGAGCUUAACUUGGGAACUGCCAUUGAUACUAUUUGUCUUGAAUGUCGUGGAGGUUAGCGGAAUAUGUCAUGUAGCGGUGAAAUGCUUAGAUAUGACAUAGAACACCUAUUGCGAAGGCAGCUAACUACGCGAAUAUUGACGCUGAGGCACGAAAGCGUGGGGAUCAAACAGG
rnacentral:rRNA from 1 species